rnacentral:rRNA from 1 species
CGGAACGAGUUAUCUGAACCUUCGGGGGAACGAUAACGGCGUCGAGCGGCGGACGGGUGAGUAAUGCCUAGGAAAUUGCCCUGAUGUGGGGGAUAACCAUUGGAAACGAUGGCUAAUACCGCAUAAUGCCUACGGGCCAAAGAGGGGGACCUUCGGGCCUCUCGCGUCAGGAUAUGCCUAGGUGGGAUUAGCUAGUUGGUGAGGUAAGGGCUCACCAAGGCGACGAUCCCUAGCUGGUCUGAGAGGAUGAUCAGCCACACUGGAACUGAGACACGGUCCAGACUCCUACGGGAGGCAGCAGUGGGGAAUAUUGCACAAUGGGCGCAAGCCUGAUGCAGCCAUGCCGCGUGUGUGAAGAAGGCCUUCGGGUUGUAAAGCACUUUCAGUCGUGAGGAAGGUAGUGCAGUUAAUAGCUGCAUUAUUUGACGUUAGCGACAGAAGAAGCACCGGCUAACUCCGUGCCAGCAGCCGCGGUAAUACGGAGGGUGCGAGCGUUAAUCGGAAUUACUGGGCGUAAAGCGCAUGCAGGUGGUUUGUUAAGUCAGAUGUGAAAGCCCGGGGCUCAACCUCGGAAUUGCAUUUGAAACUGGCAGACUAGAGUACUGUAGAGGGGGGUAGAAUUUCAGUGUAGCGGUGAAAUGCGUAGAGAUCUGAAGGGAAUACCGGUGGCGAAGGCGGCCCCCUGGACAGAUACUGACACUCAGAUGCGAAAGCGUGGGGAGCAAACAGGAUUAGGAUACCCUGGUAGUCCACGCCGUAAACGAUGUCUACUUGGGAGGU